rnacentral:rRNA from 1 species
GAUGAACGCUAGCGGCGUGCCUAAUGCAUGCAAGUCGAACGGGAAGCCUCGCAUUGAUACUUCGGUUGAUCUGUGUGGUGGAGAGUGGCGAACGGGUGAGUAACACGUUGGUAACCUGCCUCAGAGAAGGGGACAACCACUGGAAACGGUGGCUAAUACCCUAUAUCUUUUUACAAGGAAAGCUCCGGCGCUCUGAGAGGGGCCAGCGCCCCAUCAGCUUGUUGGUAAGGUAACGGCUUACCAAGGCUUAGACGGGUAGGGGGCGUGAGAGCGUGAUCCCCCACACUGGUACUGAUACACGGACCAGAUACCUACGGGUAGCAGCAGCAAGGAAUCUUGCGCAAUGGGCGAAAGCCUGACGCAGCAACGCCGCGUGGAGGAUGAAGGCCUUCGGGUCGUAAACUCCUUUUCUGAGGGAAUAGAAAGGAAGGUACCUCAGGAAUAAGCUCCGGCUAACUACG